GGUUAUUAAAUGCUUUAUACAUCAUGUGGUGGUCCAAAAAUUGUGAAACCAAUUUUGUUAGCUUCCAUUUAUCAUGUAUGCUCCAGAUCUAUAACUUGUAUUAGUGGAAUCUAUGGUUUUCGUGUUGUUUUAAAUCUAAUGCUUAUUUGCUAUCUUAAUUUUGUUAUUUGCAUGAUAAUUAGUGGGAAUUUGAUAAAAUAUUCAAACCACUUCUGUUAACCUUUGUUGUCCAGAUAGAAUCCAGAAAAAAUGAUGUUGAUACUUUUAUGGUGGAUUUACAAGCCUUUUUGGAUUUAAUGUGCUUAAUACUAGUUUAUCUUAUUUAUUUUAUAUCUUCACAUUAAAAAUGGAUUUUGAGGUGAAUCCAAUUCUCAUAAUCUUGUAUUGGUGUCUUCUAUCCGUGCAAUUUAUUUCAUAGUUAUUCCUCAACAUAUGAUUUCAAUCUUGCAAUUUCGUGUUUGCUUUGGCUUACCGUACAAAAUAGUUUCUCUCAUCGUUCUUGUAUGGUUUUUGAUAUGAACCCGCUAUGGUUGAUUCCCG
rnacentral:lncRNA from 1 species